rnacentral:rRNA from 1 species
UACAGAGGCCUCAAGCGUUAGGCGGAAUCACUGGGCUUAAAGCGUGUGUAGGCGGAUCGUUAAGUGUGUUGUGAAAUCCCACGGCUCACCCGUGGAACUGCUGGGCAUACUGGCGAUCUUGGGCCAACUAGGGGCAGCCGGAACAAGCGGUGGAGCGGUGAAAUGCGUAGAUAUCGCUUGGAACGCCGAAGGUGAAAACAGGCUGCUGGGGUUGUGCCGACGCUGAGACACGAAAGCCAGGGGAGCAAACGGG